rnacentral:ribozyme from 1 species
UUUUUAAAAAAUUUUUUUUUUUUUUUUUUUUUUUUUUUUUAACGAACGUUUGAAAUAAAU